rnacentral:rRNA from 1 species
UACGUAGGUGGCGAGCGUUGUCCGGAAUCACUGGGCGUAAAGGGCGCGUAGGCGGUUUCUUAAGUCGGGUGUGAAAUCUUUGGGCUCAACCUAAAGUUUGCAUUCGAUACUGGGGGACUUGAGUGCAGGAGAGGGCAGUGGAAUUCCUAGUGUAGCGGUGAAAUGCGUAGAUAUUAGGAGGAACACCAGUGGCGAAGGCGGCUGCCUGGACUGUAACUGACGCUGAGGCGCGAAAGCGUGGGGAGCAAACAGG